GACUGCGGAGGAUCAUUAUCGUAGGGCUUCGGCCCUGUCGAGAUAGAACCCUUGCCUUUUUGAGUACCUUUCGUUUCCUCGGCAGGCUCGCCUGCCAAUGGGGACCACAAAAAACACUUUGCAGUACCUGUAACAGUCUGAACAAACAAAACAAAAAUUAAAACUUUCAACAACGGAUCUCUUGGUUCUGGCAUCGAUGAAGAACGCAGCGAAAUGCGAUAAGUAGUGUGAAUUGCAGAAUUCAGUGAAUCAUCGAAUCUUUGAACGCACAUUGCGCCCUCUGGUAUUCCGGGGGGCAUGCCUGUUCGAGCGUCAUUACAACCCUCAAGCUUUGCUUGGUAUUGGACAUUGCCAGUUUCUGGCAGGUCUUAAAAUCAGUGGCGGUGCCAUUUGGCUUCAAGCGUAGUAAUUCUUCUCGCUUUGGAGAUCCAGGUGGUUACUUGCCAAUAACCCCCAAUUUUUUCAGGUUGACCUCGGAUCAGGUAGGGAUACCCGCUGAACUUAAGCAUAUCAAUAAGCGGAGGA
rnacentral:rRNA from 1 species